rnacentral:rRNA from 1 species
UGCAGUCACUGACACAGAGUAGCAAUAUUCUGUGGGAGGUGGCGCACGGGUGCGUAACACGUAGGUAAUCUACCCUUAGGACUGACAUAAUAUCGAGAAAUCGGUACUAAUAUCAGAUGAUGCAGCGGCUCCGCAUGGAGACAGUUGUUAAAGCUACGGCGCCUAGGGAUGAGCCUGCGGCCCAUUAGGUAGUUGGCGGGAUAACAGCCCACCAAGCCGACGAUGGGUAGCUGGUCUGAGAGGAUGAUCAGCCACACUGAAACUGAGACACGGUCCAGACUCCUACGGGAGGCAGCAGUAAGGAAUAUUGCUCAGUGGCCGAAAGGCUGAAGCAGCAACGCCGCGUGAAGGAUGAAGGGAUUUUUCUUGUAAACUUCUGUAAAAAAGGAAAAAUAAUUCGAUUUAUCGAAGAUGAUUGUACUUUUGAAGUAAGCACCGGCUAACUACGUGCUAGCAGCCGCGGUAAUACGUAGAGUGCAAGCGUUGUCCGGAUUUACUGGGUGUAAAGGGUGCUCAGGCGGAUUUGUAAGUCAGAGGUGAAAUCUCACAGCUUAACUGUGAAACUGCCUUUGAUACUGCAAGUCUAGAGUUAUGGAGAGGGUGAUGGAAUAUCUGGUGUAGCAGUGAAAUGCGUAGAUAUCAGAUAGAACACCCAAUGGCGAAGGCAGUCACCUGGCUCAUAUACUGAACGCUAAAGGCACGAAAGCGUGGGGAGCAAACAAGGAUUAAGAUACCCCUGGUAGUCCACGCCCUAACGAUGAGUACUGCACAUUGGGGGACAAAGUUUUCAGUGUCUGAAGCUAACGCAUUAAGUACUCAACCUGGGGA